UAAUUUCAGAGAUUUCUUUUU
rnacentral:piRNA from 1 species